rnacentral:rRNA from 1 species
GAUGAACGCUGGCGGCGUGCUUAACACAUGCAAGUCGAACGAAGCACUUUAUUUGAUUUCCUUCGGGACUGAUUAUUUUGUGACUGAGUGGCGGACGGGUGAGUAACGCGUGGGUAACCUGCCUUGUACAGGGGGAUAACAGUUGGAAACGGCUGCUAAUACCGCAUAAGCGCCCAGCAUCGCAUGAUGCAGUGUGAAAAACUCCGGUGGUAUAAGAUGGACCCGCGUUGGAUUAGCUAGUUGGUGAGGUAACGGCCCACCAAGGCGACGAUCCAUAGCCGGCCUGAGAGGGUGAGCGGCCACAUUGGGACUGAGACGCGGCGCAGAAUCCUACGGGAGGCAGCAGUGGGGAAUAUUGCACAAUGGGCGAAAGCCUGAGGCAGCGACGCCGCGUGAGCGAAGAAGUAUUGCGGGAUGUAAAGCUCUAUCAGCAGGGAAGAUAAUGACGGUACCUGAAUAAGAAGCACCGGCUAACUACGUG